rnacentral:lncRNA from 1 species
AUGCGGGCUCUGGAGCAUCCUCCCUGCCAGGAGAGGGGAUGGGAAAGGUCAGGAGGAAAGGUCAGGGAGCAGGCCGGCAGGGCAGGGCUCAUCCAGGCACCCUGCUCUGGGCUCAGCCCUGUUCCAGGCACGCUGAGUGGUCUAGAAGGAGAAGAGGACCAGAUCUCUGCCCUCAGAGGAUCUCCUUCUGAAAGGGGAGACUGGUAUUUAUGGAAGUUCUUUGUAAGAAUGCCAGCGGAUCCCAGCAGUGCUGAGAGAAACUAGCAAAGGAGUCUCUGUCUGCUCCUGGGCUCAUGGUGAGAGAGACAAAUCUCCCACAAGCCUGGGAGUGGAGGAGGCCAGAACAUGGCUGGACGUGGAGGGUACUGGAGGUGGGGGGACCAGGAUUGCAGCCAGGAGGGCUCCUGCUCCCCUGAAGGGCCUCUCUUUGAACCUGGGGUGUCCCUGGGGUCCCUGGGAACAAAGUCUGUUGUCCUGGACUGGACUGGGCUGGCCGUUAGAACUGCCCACAUACUUUUGGCCUCAUCCUGGGGGUGGGGGGGCAGGCAGCCUAAGCAAGCCACUCUCAGGCCAGGCCUGGGUUUGGACUCCUGAGGAAGCUGCUCCCUGUGACCCUGGGUGCCCCUGGGUGCUGAGGCUGGGAGGAGGGGUUUGUUGCCCAUUGUGCAUGACACACCAAUGUGCUGAAACACCAGGUUACAUCAGAGAAAGAGGUUUAUCUGUGGGGCCACCAAACCAGGAGACAGAAUGAAACCUCAAAUCCAUCUCCCCAAGGAGUCUGGAGCCAGGGUUUUUAAUGGUUUUGGAGCAGGCCAGAGUGUGGAGAUUGUUGAUUGAUUUGAAUGCAGGGUGAAGUUAUGGGACAGGAAGAUGAAGAAACUGUGUUCUCACCCUGAUUCGGUUCCUCUUUGGGGGUCUUCAGACUGGUUGAUGUCAGCUGUUUCACUGGAAUUCAGGAUCUGCUUAAGUAAUUCUUAAACAAAAGUCUUAUGACUCUAACAUCAGAAAUCUUAUCUAUAGGAAUAAUUGGGAUGCAAAUGACCAGUGUCAAGUGCUACGUGACUGUCGGUUACAAAGAAGUGGGUCAAAGUGCAGCCUGAUUAACGCCUAUCACCAUAUGUCUGUCCAGAAUUCUUGUUCACCCUGCGAGGACGGCUUCAGCAGUGGCUUGACUGGAUUAGCAGAGAUUCUGCCCACGGUAAGGGGCUCUGCGCUGGGGCCCAGAGAAUGGGAACUCAGACUCCUGGGAUAAGUUCUCCCUUGAUCCUGGUUUCUGGGGCUUCCAAGUCUUCCUUCAAGUUCCCCUUCCCCAGCUCUGGCUCUUUACUGGGCCCCAUCUUAAACACUCAACAAGGACAUCAAAGCCAAGUCAGGCGGGGGGACGGCAGUUCUUCACUGGGUUCGGGGCCAGCUCGGCAGGAGAUGAGGAAGGUCUUGGUGGGGAGAGAAGCGGUACCUCUGUGAUUUCAAGGAGGAGAUAGGGUGGAGGUUCAUAGUGGCAGAAAGAGCCAGGGAUAGAGUCAUGAAGUCUUUUGCCCUCUGAUAUUAAAUUAUUUGUAAGCAAAUUGUCACCAAUGCAUCCCUAGAAGGUCCUGGCACUGCUCCGUGCCAUGGCCAUUCCUGGCCAGAUGGAGUUGCCCUGCGUGGCUGAGCAUCUCCGAGGAGGAGUGAGGUGUCUGCAGACAGAGAACCAGCAAUGACAUGGGACAUUAGGUGCUGAUGGCUUUGCUGAGCAAGAGAAUUGCAAUUAAGGACAUGAUGAGUCCCUCUGGGGGCUGUCAGACAAGGGUCCAGAGCAGGGGUCAGGAAGCUGGGGUUUAGAAACAGCAGCUGGAGGAGGGGGUGAUGAGAGGGGAGCCAGGACAAGGUGUGGGGGUGCAGCCACCGUCCUCUCAGCAAGUCUGCCAAGAACAACGAGGUGACAUAAUCCUAACAGCACCUUCCUUUACGCAGUGCUUAACAUGCCCACACUGAGAGGUAGGCAGUAUCAUUAUCUCCAUUUUACAGAUAAGGACACUGCAGACUGGAGGUUAAGUAACUCAUCUCAAGCACUUAAUGGAGAUGCAAUUCUGGCCCAGCACCACGGGGCACCAAAAUCAGGCCUCACAGCCACCCCACUGUGGUGUCCUCUUUCUAGAUUUUCCCCAGGCUGGCUCAGUUGAUGCCCAGGGCCACAGGCCAGCACUGCCCCAGCUUGGAUCUUGAGAUUUCAGGUGGGAAUUCCUGAGGGGUUGAGAGCUCACCCAGACAUUCUGUCUGCUACCCCGUGGACCCCACCUCUCCACCUUGCUGUGGGGCAGGGAAGGGAGGGACAUCUGCUUGGAUGACAGGCAGAAGCCAUUCCAGGGAAGAUGGUAGACCCAGGGAGGUGGGAGGGGAAGAGGGGUGCGUGCGUCACCUCAGAGUUGGUGUCUGAGCUCCCCAUCUUGCUCAAACCUCCCACCACAGGGAACCCCCACUCCUGAUCCUCCCUCCUUGGACUUUGUCCAGUGACAUCAUUGUCAAUAAGAAGUUCAUCCUUAUCCAGAACAAGCAUACCUGAAGGAUGGACACCCACUGCUCAGCCUCCCUCCAGUCCUGCUCAUUUGCACGUGCCCACCACACCCCGGGGCACCCUGAAGGUCAGCUGAUAUGUGGGAAGCAACCGACGAACAGCUCUGCCCUUUUUAGGAAUUGUUCAUAUUUUGCACUCAAAAUGCAAAAUGGGGAGAGAAGGAAAGGGAUGAGGUGAAAUGCGAGGGGGAUGAGAAAUGAGAGGCUCAGAUGCUUGGGACCAGGCUUCAUGGCAGUGCCAGUAGGCAGCAGACAAAGGUGCUGAAAGAAGGGGAAAUAAGAGGUGAGGGAGUGCAGGAUGAAGGCCAGUUUGCCCAGAAUACCCGUCCCUUCAUUCCCAGCAGCCCAAAUCUUAUUCAUCCUUCAAAACCCAGCACAGAUGCCACCUCUUCCAUGAAGCCUUCUCUGACCUCCACCUGAAGCUUUCUUUCUCCCUAAGUACCUGUCCACAUUGAUCUCAUGAACCUUGUCACGCUCUGCCUUGUGUUGUGCAAACCUGGCUAGACUCAGAGCUCCACAGGGCAGAGGCCGGGCCUUGCUCAUCAUCCCCUUACAAGACCCCCAUGACUAAGUGUGGGAUCCAGUGGGACUGAAGGAGAGGAGCGGUUCAUGAUGAUGCUGGAUAGGAGGUGGAGUGCACUCAGCUCAGAGGACAGAGGGGUGGCUCAGGAAAUAUCAGCGGAAAGGUGACUGAGGAGAGCUGCUGCUUGCAACCUGAAAUCUAGAUUAUAUUUGAGGACCAAAUAGAAAAGAAGCCUGUUUCUGCAGAGUCCGGCAGCGCUGGGAAAGUGAAUGCAGCCAGCUCGUGCCAUCUCAGGGUGGGGGGAGGGGCAAGCACAGUCUUCAGGGAGAAUAAGCUUUUUGGAAAGACAUGCCUCUCACACCCCAUGUGGGGUUUUUCGUUGUUGUCAUUGUUGUUGUUUUUGAACAACAGUGAGUGACUCUGUCACCUAGGCU